rnacentral:lncRNA from 1 species
UUAGUAGUUAGUUCUAGUAGUACCAGUCAGUUCUGGAGUGUUAGCCCUACCAGGAGCCCUCCUAUCAGCCUCGGUUGGCAUUGUGUUGGCAACAAGCCCUAAUUUAGGGAAUUAAAAAGCACUAGACAGGCCCUUUGUGCCACUGCGCGCCCGCUUUAAUCUUCCCAUGCCUCAGCGGGCACCCACAGCACGCGCACACACACACACACACACAAACACACACACACAGCGUCAGAAGUGGGCACGGUGCCCAUAUGACCCUGGGCAAUAUGGAAAUGUCCACCAAAACCACUAACCAAGCGCCCAGGCUGCCUCUGGUAGAGUCAGUACACAGUGGGAACACACUCUAAUACCAUCCCCCCACUGCACUGAAGCACAGAGAUACACACCACACCACACACACAACACGCAGAUGCUUGCACAUGCAAUUAAAUGUAUGCAUAGUUGUAUUCAUAGACAGAGCGAGAGAGACAGACACACACACACACACACAUUAUUUCACUGUCUUUCUCUAUCAAACACACACACACUUGUCAGAAGUUUGUGUUUCUCUUUGAAAUGUGGGUAAGUGUAACUGCAGUGUCGACGACAAGGCCAAUUUCUCAUGAGGUCAUCCAUCACCUCUAAUGAAACUGGCAGAGCCUAACUGUCUCGCUGUGUGUGUGUGUGUGUGUGUGUGUGUGUGUGUGUGUGUGUGUGUGUGUGUGUGUGUGUGUGUGUGUGUGUGUGUGUGUGUGUGUGUGUGUGUGUGUGUGUGUGUGUGUGUGUGUGUGUGUGUGUCUCUCUCUCUCUCCCUGGGCAGAUCCACUGGCGCCUCGCUAACCCAGGGAGGAGAAAUGGACUGAUUUAAUUACAGAUGAAACACACACACACAGGCUGGCUAUCACACAGACAGACAGAUUUCUUUUCACACAGACUCACACUCAAAGAGCACAGAUUUUAAACAAAGUUCAUAAACACACUCCUUUUUUCAAGCCAGUCUUGUUAGCAUGUUAGGAAACUACAAUGGGGAGCUGAGUGGGUGCUGCCUGGUGUGAUGUUGACGUGUUAAAGCUAAGCUACAAAGCCAAAUAUAACUUAAAGAGGCAAACAGCAGUUGCUACAUCUAUUUCUGGACUUAAUUAUACGUACCGAUAGAUUUUUGAAGAAUACAACGUAUAAAUGCGCUUCAUGAGCUUAGUUCAACUGUCGUACCACAUCAGAACCAAAAAUAUAAGCGUGUUUUACUUCAAUGUUUGCAAACAAUGUAAAUUGUAAACAAACACUAUAUAGCCUCAAAACAUGGUUAAAACUAUAAUGUUGAUAUCAUGGAGGGUCAGUCCUUGCAUCCAUAGCUUUAUCUGUUCAUUUGAUAGUGGUUGCAUUUCUCCAGUACCAUCCCUCAGCUUUUUACAGAAUCAGGAGCAUGCUUUGUUAUUGUUUCUACUGCUGAUUGCUGCUUUAAGUAGCUUCAUAACACUACAGCAUGAGAGUUACAGUUGAGGAUAAAUUGAUCAGCAUUUGUUAAAUCUGUAGUUAACAGUCCUCUUUGAUGGUGAUGGAGGUGAAUAUCUCUUUCAUUCUUGUUACGAAACCAAUAACUAGCCUGCUAAUAUUGUUGCACUCACUAAGUCCAGGGGUCUCAGGCCUAGUUAACUGGUCUGUAACCGGAUUGAAGCUUGUGCAUCUAUGUGAGAAAUCAGCGUAUGUUCCUAGGUGUUGAAGGUUCAAUAUGGACAGAGUGUGUCCUGGAUAGUGUGUUUGUCUAUGUCCUAGCACUAACCUUCCCCCCAUAUCAUAACAUUCUAAAGAAGGGCAAACCAGCUGAUGAUUGGCUCUUUCAUUCAGGCCAAUUUUUAUCUAGAAUUUAGAUGUACGGCUGUUGACCAAAACCUUGGCCACUAGGCUAGAAGCGGUACUCCCUUCACUCAUCAAUAUCGACCAGACGGGGCUUGUCAAGGGCAGAUACUCGUACCAUAAUAUAAGGAAACUUCUAAACAUUAUUCAACAUGCAAAUCUAUAUAGCCCAGAGGCCUUAGUGAUCUCACUUGAUGCAGAGAAGGCCUUUAACAGGGUCGAGUGGACCUAUCUGAUUAUGAUACUAGCAGAUAAGUUCAUCAAAUGGAUAGGGGUAUUUGACACCUGUCCUCCUGCUGCUGUUCUCACCAAAGGGAUCAGAUUUCACACUAGGACGUGGAACCAGGUAGGGUUGUCCAAUGACCGCUCUGUUAUUAGCUGUGGCAAUAAGGCUGGCGGAUGCUAUAGGUGGGAUCCGAUUGGGGACCAAAGGCAAUAACAUUUCUCCAUAUGCGGAUGAUGUUUCGCUGUAUUUGGGCUCGUGUAGAAAUUCUAUUCCAAAACUUGUGGACCUUAUUACCUCUUUAGGAGCUUCCUCUAGGUAUAAAGUGAAUUUCUCCAAGUCUGAGGCUAUGGCACGUGGUGACUCCCAGGCUGUUAAUUCAACAAUCUCCCAGCCUUUCCAAUGGCCUCCCUCUGCUUUUACUUACUUGACUAUUAAAAUCUGUCCUGUGCUAAAAGACAUGUAUAGAUUAACCCACUCCUUCUCUCUAUUCAAAAUGAUCUUGAUAGGUGGUGUUGCCUGCCUCUGUCAAGUUUAGGCCGCAUUCACCUUAUCAAAAUGAAUAUUCUCCCUCGCCUGCUAUACCGUUUUCAAAUGGUCCCACUUUUACUUCCCAGAAAAACCUUUACCCAGUUAGACCGUGCUAUAAUAUGUUUCAUCUGGCCAAGGAAAACACCUAGGCUGAGGUAUAGCUAUCUCACUCUACCUACCAGGUUAGCUGGUCUAGCAGUCCCUUCUCAUAAAUGUUAUCAACUGGCAUCUCAACUGAGCUUUAUUGAGAGUAUUGAAAACCCAAGAGCCUCUUGGCUUAAUUGUGAAUCAGCUACUAUUGGGACAAUCCCACUCCGUAAACUUUUAUACAUAUCCCAGACAAAGAUAGGCAAAUAGACUAAAGACAUUUCAUUAUAUGCUGAAGAACAUCUCUCAAUCUGGGGACAGGUCCGGAAGUUAGAAGGGCACAAUGUUUGUUUCUCAUUACUGACCCCUUUGAAUGAAACCUAAUGUGUCUCGUCUUUACAGUAAGUCUCAGGGUGCAGGGGGUUCCCUUAUUCAUUGUUUCUGGGAUCGUUGUUACAUAGAAACAUUGUGUUCGGAGGUUCUAUAGGAGAUAGAUAACGUUUUUGAGCGCUCUCUCCAGCUGGGUACAACGUUUUGUAGACUGGAAACUAGAGAGGAACUGCCUCUUAGAUUUCCUUAGUGCACAUUUUACACAUUUUAUUACAAAAAUGUAUUCUUCUGCUGUGGAUAUCUGAUAAGGCUUCCUCAGCAGCAUUGGAAAAUAAGCCUUAUCAAUUUCUUAAGAUGUGGGACCCCUUCUUGAACCAACACCGUCAAAACAAAGCCCAAGUGUUAAUUUCAGGACUGUCAGGCUUGGCCUGGCGCGAUUCAGCUACUUGAGGACAAAUCUACUUUAUGUAGGCGGUUUGUACUCAUACCUGACCUCUGUGAGGUAGCCUAGCUACCCUCCCUGCUGCUCUAGGCAGGUUCACAGUGUUAGCACACUAACUAGCCCAGCUGCCCUCCCUGCUGCUCUAGGCAGGUUCACAGUGUUAGCACACUAACUAGCCUAGCUGCCCCUCCCUGCUGCUCUAGGCAGGUUCACAGUGUUAGCACACUAACUAGCCUAGCUGCCCCUCCCUGCUGCUCUAGGCAGGUGCACAGUGUUAGCACACUAACUAGCCUAGCUGCCCCUCCCUGCUUCUCUAAGCAGGUUCACAGUGUUAGCACACUAACUAGCCUAGCUGCCCCUCCCUGCUGCUCUAGGCAGGUUCACAGUGUUAGCACACUAACUAGCCUAGCUGCCCCUCCCUGCUGCUCUAGGCAGGUUCACAGUGUUAGCACGCCUACUAGCCUAGCUGCC